rnacentral:rRNA from 1 species
UACGGAGGGUGCAAGCGUUAUCCGGAUUCACUGGGUUUAAAGGGUGCGUAGGCGGGUAUGUAAGUCAGUGGUGAAAUCCUGGAGCUUAACUCCAGAACUGCCAUUGAUACUAUAUAUCUUGAAUAUUGUGGAGGUUUUGCGGAAUAUGUCAUGUAGCGGUGAAAAUGCUUAGAUAUGACAUAGAACACCUAUUGCGAAGGCAGCAGCUACACAUAUAUUGACGCUGAGCACGAAAGCGUGGGGAUCAAAACAGG